CGAGAAAGCCCGCAAGGGUGAGUACAGCGGCGCACGGGUGAGUAACACGUGGGUAAUCUGCCCUGGAGUCCGGAAUAAUUCGCCGAAAGGCGUGCUAAUGCCGGAUAAGACCACGGGGACCUCGGUCCCUGCGGGAAAAGGUGGCCUCUGCAUGCAAGCUAUCACUUCAGGAUGAGCCCGUGGCCCAUCAGCUCGUUGGCGGGGUAACGGCCCACCAAGGCUACGACGGGUAGCUGGUCUGAGAGGACAAUCAGCCACACUGGAACUGAGACACGGUCCAGACUCCUACGGGAGGCAGCAGUGGGGAAUCUUGCGCAAUGGGCGAAAGCCUGACGCAGCAACGCCGCGUGUGUGAUGAAGGUCUUCGGAUCGUAAAGCACUGUCGCGAGGGACG
rnacentral:rRNA from 1 species